rnacentral:rRNA from 1 species
UACGUAGGGUGCGAGCGUUAAUCGGAAUUACUGGGCGUAAAGCGUGCGCAGGCGGUUUUGUAAGACAGAUGUGAAAUCCCCGGGCUUAACCUGGGAACUGCGUUUGUGACUGCAAGACUAGAGUGUGGCAGAGGGGGGUAGAAUUCCACGUGUAGCAGUGAAAUGCGUAGAGAUGUGGAGGAAUACCGAUGGCGAAGGCAGCCCCCUGGGUUAACACUGACGCUCAUGCACGGAAGCGUGGGUAGCGAAUGGG